GACGAACCGUGCGAACGUUAUUCGGAAUCACUGGGCUUAAAGCGCGUGUAGGCGGGGCGGAACGUCGGUUGCUGAAAUCCCCCGGCUCAACCGGGGAAGUGGCGCCGAUACGACCGCCCUGGAGCGACGUAGGGGGAACUGGAACUUCCGGUGGAGCGGUGAAAUGCGUUGAGAUCGGAAGGAACGCCCGUGGCGAAAGCGAGUUCCUGGACGUCGGCUGACGCUGAGACGCGAAAGCCAGGGGAGCGAACGGG
rnacentral:rRNA from 1 species